rfam:Triticum aestivum genome assembly, contig: Triticum_aestivum_CS42_TGACv1_scaffold_404330_5BL
AAAGUACUCCCUCCGUCUGAAAAUACUUAUCAUCAAAAUGAAUAAACAAAGAUGUAUUUAGAAUUAAAAUAUAUUAAGAUAUAUCCUCUUUCAUCCAUUUUGAUGACAAGUAUUUUCGGACGGAUGUGUACUUG